rnacentral:rRNA from 1 species
CCUACGGGUGACUGCAGUGAGGAAUAUUGGUCAAUGGCCGCAAGGCUGAACCAGCCAUGCCGCGUGAAGGUCAGUGCCCUAUGGGCGUUAAACUUCUUUUGUGCGGGAGCAAUAAUGGUCACGUUUGGCCAGACGAGAGUACCGUACGAAUAAGCCUCGGCUAACUCCGUGCCAGCAGCCGCGGUAAUACGGGGGAUGCAAGCGUUAUCCGGAUUUAUUGGGUUUAAGGGGAGCGUAGAUGGGUUGUGAAGUCAGUUGUGAAAGUUUGCGGCUCAACCGUAAAAUUGCAAUUGAUACGGGCAGUCUUGAGUACAGUUGAGGUAGGCGGAAUUCGUGGUGUAGCGGUGAAAUGCUUAGAUAUCACGAAGAACCCCGAUUGCGAAGGCAGCUGACUAAACUGUGACUGACAUUGAUGCGCGAAAGUGUGGGUAUCAAACAGGAUUAGAUACCCCUGUAGUC